rnacentral:rRNA from 1 species
GAUGAACGCUAGCGGCAGGCCUAAUACAUGCAGGUCGAACGGUAAGUAUUUUAGCAAUAGAAUACGAGAGUGACGUACGGGUGCGUAACACGUAUGCAACCUACCCUUUACAGGAGGAUAGCUCGGGGAAACUCGAAUUAACCCUCCAUGAGAUCACAGUGUGGCAUCACACAGUGAUUAAAACUCCGGUGGUAAAGGAUGGGCAUGCGUCUGAUUAGUUAGUUGGCGGGGUAACGGCCCACCAAGACGAUGAUCAGUAGGGGAACUGAGAGAUUGAUCCCCCACACUGGCACUGAGAUACGGGCCAGACUCCUACGGGAGGCAGCAGUAGGGAAUAUUGGUCAAUGGAUGGAAGUCUGAACCAGCCAUGCCGCGUGCAGGAAGAAGGCCUUCUGGGUUGAAAACUGCUUUUGCCAGGGGAUAAAAAGACCAUGCGUGGUUAAUUGAAGGUACCUGGUGAAUAAGCCACGGCUAACUACGUGCCAGCAGCCGCGGUAA